CCUACGGGUGGCAGCAGUGAGGAAUAUUGGUCAAUGGGCGCGAGCCUGAACCAGCCAAGUAGCGUGAAGGAUGACUGCCCUACGGGUUGUAAACUUCUUUUAUAAAGGAAUAAAGUGAGGCACGUGUGCCUUUUUGUAUGUACUUUAUGAAUAAGGAUCGGCUAACUCCGUGCCAGCAGCCGCGGUAAUACGGAGGGUGCGAUCGUUAUCCGGAUUUGUUGGGUUUAAAGGGAGCGUAGAUGGGUUGUUAAGUCAGAUGUGAAAGUUUGCGGCUCAACCGUAAAAUUGCAAUUGAUACUGGCAGUCUUGAGUACAGUUGAGGUAGGUGGAAUUCGUGGUGUAGCGGUGAAAUGCUCAGAUAUCACGAAGAAUUCCGAUUGCGAAGGCAGCUUACUAAACUGCCACUGACAUUGAUGCUCGAAAGUGUGGGUAGCAAACAGGAUUAGAUACCCCUGUAGUC
rnacentral:rRNA from 1 species